rnacentral:rRNA from 1 species
UGACUGAGCGGCGGACGGGUGAGUAACGCGUGGGCAACCUGCCUUACACAGGGGGAUAACAGUUAGAAAUGACUGCUAAUACCGCAUAAGACCACAGGACUGCAUGGUCCGGUGGUAAAAACUCCGGUGGUGUAAGAUGGGCCCGCGUCUGAUUAGGUAGUUGGCGGGGUAACGGCCCACCAAGCCGACGAUCAGUAGCCGACCUGAGAGGGUGACCGGCCACAUUGGGACUGAGACACGGCCCAGACUCCUACGGAAGGCAGCAG